AUGCAUUUCGAAGACCAUGAGUUCGAGUUGGACGAGGAGGGUGAGGGCAUUGUCGACGCACCGAAAGGAAGAGCGGGCAAUUACACCAACGCCGAUGACAUCUUACUAUGCAAUACUUGGUUGCAAGUGUCGAGGGAUCCAUCCGUUGGAGGUGAUCAAAGUAGAGAUGCUUAUUGGGGGCGGAUGAAAGAACACUUUGAUGUUCACAACGUGAGUGGAAUUGACCGCUCCGAGAGAUCACUUCGGUCCUGA
rnacentral:rRNA from 1 species